GUGCUCACUUCGGCAGCACAUAUACUAAAAUUAGAAUGAUACAGAAAAGACUAGCAUGGCCCUGUGCAAGGAUGACAUGCAAAUUCAUGAAGCGUUCCAUAUUUUU
rnacentral:snRNA from 1 species